rnacentral:lncRNA from 1 species
AUGUUUACUGAGGAAUUAAUAUCACACUGCAGGAAGGGAGCCACAUGGACCAAGCUGCCAAAAGAUAGGAGGAGUGCCAAGCUAGACAACCGUGAAAAGAGAACUGAGAACUCUGAGGAGGAUGAAGAUUCUGAAAAAGAAGCCUUGUAUUCUACGUGGGCCAAAGGGAGAAGAGCCCUUCCUGUAGGGGUGGAGGAAGAUGAGCAGGACGAUGACAAUGACGAUGACGAGGACAAAGGCUGUGAGGAAGAGGAGGAGGAAGGUCAGAACGACCUAAAUCAGGUCGGGCAAGAGGUGGCCAGUGUCCAGGAGUAACCUAUGAAAAAAAAACACCUGAUAAAUGGAAGAUGGAAAUGGCCAAACAGAAGGCUCCCCCUGACACCGCAAAACAGAAAUUAGAAGGUAACUUCUUUGCUAUGUUUUAAGGCAUAAGAGACACACGGAGAAUUUCAGAUUGGCAGAAAUUAAAUCUCUCUUCACCCAAAUGAUGAACAAGGGGAUAUUUAUUGCAGCUUGGGGUUAUGGUAUUCCAGAGUCUUUCAUGGAAUUUUCUUUUAGCAUCAUUCUUUCUGAACUAUUUACAUAUAUAGUUUUUCUCUCUUUUUUUUUUUUUACCUUUUUGUAUGGCAGCUAAACCACCUGUAACUUUCAGACUGUUUGUGGGAAACCUGAAUUUCAACAAAAUGGCUACUGAGCUAAAAACUGGUCUCAGUGAAUUUUUUGCUAAAAAUGAUCUCGCAGUUGUUGGUGUCAGAGUUGGCUUGUCCAGGUAAAUGCCGAUAAAUUAAGAAUGUUUUUACGAGUUUAUCAGCCCAGUGGUUGUUAGUCCUGGGGGAUGUAGGAGUUCAGGUGGCUUCCUGUUUGAUUGUGAGGUACUAGCCUGCUGUCUCGUCAGAGCCUUUGGUACCUGCUCUUCACUUUUUGGUGGGAUUUUAACUGUCUCAUGCAGUUCAGAAUCAGUAUUUAAAAUCCUUCAGUGGCUCAGGUUUAGUAAAUCCAUUAUAUUAAACUUUGCUACCCCAUUUUUCCAACCAAAUUAAAAUAAUCCCAAGAUCUUCUAAGUCUUUACAGAAACCAAUUUUCAUGAUUUUCCAACUGUGAGCAACAUUAUUUGCCUAGAAUCAUUUUAAACUAAGUCACAGAUUUAAUCACAAAACCCCUAGCUUUGGAAGCAAAUAUAGUUCUGUGUGAGUUCUGCUUUUUUGCUGAUUUGAAUUUCAUCCUUUCUUUCUUCUUUCACAUCAGAAGCAUAUGUCUUGGGUGUGAGCACGUCUAUUUUUAUAGUACUCAGAAUUUCUUAUGUAAAAACAAAAAG